AUGCCAUGAUGGGGGCACACAAUGAUGUACUCUUGGAGGCAUUCCUAUGCCUCCAAGAUGGACUCGUCAUUGUGCUGCUGGAAACUUGAUAUCCUGUUUCGGAGGAC
rnacentral:snoRNA from 1 species